rnacentral:rRNA from 1 species
GACGAACGCUGGCGGCGUGCUUAACACAUGCAAGUCGAACGGAAAGGCCCUGCUUUUGUGGGGUGCUCGAGUGGCGAACGGGUGAGUAACACGUGAGUAACCUGCCCUUGACUUUGGGAUAACUUCAGGAAACUGGGGCUAAUACCGGAGAGGAGCUCCUGCUGCAUGGUGGGGGUUGGAAAGUUUCGGCGGUUGGGGAUGGACUCGCGGCUUAUCAGCUUGUUUGUGGGGUAGUGGCGUACCAAGGCUUUGACGGGUAGCCGGCAUGAGAGGGUGACCGGCCACAUUGGGACUGAGAUACGGCGCAGACUGCUACGGGAGGCAGCAGUGGGGAAUAUUGCACAAUGGGCGGAAGCCUGAUGCAGCAACGCCGCGUGCGGGAUGACGGCCUUCGGGUUGUAAACCGCUUUCGCCUGUGACGAAGCGUGAGUGACGGUAAUGGGUAAAGAAGCACCGGCUAACUACGUG